rnacentral:rRNA from 1 species
UAAUACGUAGGAGGCAAGCGUUAUCCGGAUUUACUGGGCGUAAAGAGGGCGUAGGCGGCUUUUCAAGUCGGAUGUAAAAUCUCUUGGCUUAACCGGGAGGGAUCAUUCGAUACUGUUGAGCUAGAGGGCAGCAGAGGAAGACGGAAUUCCCGGUGGAGUGGUGAUAUGCGUAGAUAUCGGGAGGAACACCAGUGGCGAAGGCGGUCUUCUGGGCUGUUCCUGACGCUGAGGCCCGAAAGCGUGGGGAGCGAACAGGAUUAGAUACCCUGGUAGUCCACGCCGUAAACGAUGGAUACUAGGUAUGGGGAGUAUCGACCCUCUCCGUGCCGAAGCUAACGCCUUAAGUAUCCCGCCUGGGGAGUACGACCGCAAGGUUA